UACGAAGGGGGCUAGCGUUGCUCGGAAUCACUGGGCGUAAAGCGCACGUAGGCGGAUUGUUAAGUCAGGGGUGAAAUCCUGGAGCUCAACUCCAGAACUGCCUUUGAUACUGGGAAGCUUGAGUCCGGGAGAGGUGAGUGGAACUGCGAGUGUAGAGGUGAAAUUCGUAGAUAUUCGCAAGAACACCAGUGGCGAAGGCGGCUCACUGGCCCGGUACUGACGCUGAGGUGCGAAAGCGUGGGGAGCAAACAGG
rnacentral:rRNA from 1 species